GAGGAUAUAGCUCAAGUGGUAAAGUUCAUGCUUAGCAUGCACAAGGUCCUGGGUUCAAUCCCCAGUACCUCCU
rnacentral:tRNA from 1 species